CAUGAGUAUAAUUUGUUUUUGGUAUAGGAAAAUAAUGCUAACUCCAAUGGGGAUUCUGUUCCUCCAGUAGAAAGGCCAAUAUCUGAUAAUUCAAGGAGAGAAGUUGUUGAGCAAGAAGAUAAGCAGCAGAAGAGACAUUCUCCAUGGUCGAUCAGGCCUAUUACCAAUCGAUCGAUUGUACAAUCCAAGCUUUGCUGACAUUGGUCUACCGGUGGAUCCUCACUUGCGUAUGCUCAAGCUGAAUCCAAAUUUUUGUAAGCAAUCCUAAGGCUCGCAGCAAAGGCAAGAUGGUGAUCGAUUUGAACAAGUGAUGAUUUCUAAGAGUGCAAACAAUUGAGGAAUAUUGUGCUGAGGUUGAAGCUAUUUUGUCACAAAUGAAGAAUGACUUAUGACAAAAUCAAGCUCAUUGUGGGACAUUCUCAAAUAUUCUUCUUUUUUUCUUUUAGUCCUUUCGAUUUCAUAAGCAGAAAAGCGUUGAACAUCCUCCUUCAAAUUUUGUUUUAAUUUUGUUGUUUUGUUGUCAAUAUCAAGUUACUGGUAAACCACAUUUCUUUCGAGAACUCUUCAAGAUUGAAUACAACAUCAUGUUUUGUUAUUUCAUCAGCCUCUG